rnacentral:lncRNA from 1 species
GGCGGGCGGGGGGGGCGGGGCGGGGGUGGAGAUGGCAGCAGCUGCGAGGAGGGAUGCCUAGGCUCUCUCCUGCUGCCUGAGUGCUGUGUCGGGAACUAGAAGAGUGGGUUAGAGUCGUGGCUCCUCCCUGUAUCAGCUGCCUGACCUUGCUCUAUCUCAUCACUUUCCCGGGUCUCAGUUUCCCCAAACCGUCCCUCCUACUCGGUUAAAUGAUAGGUCCCGCGGAAUUCGAGACCUUGAGCUGGAAUGGGAUCUUAGAGGCCUUGGGAGUUCAAUCCUCCCCUUCGUUUUACAGAUGAGGGAAAUGAGCCCCAGAGAGGUCAUGGAGGGCGAAAAUGGCAGAGAUGGGCCUCGAACUCGGGGCACCUGAGCAGAUUCGAGUUGACCUUUUCACACAUCAUGCUGCUAAACCUGUCGGAUUAGUCCCUUCCAUGGAUGGUAUUUGAAGACUGCAGGGUACCGAGGAUGAUGCAGAGACCAACAUCACCUUCUCUAGGAGGAGAGACUGAAAAUACCGUACUAUGGAACUGGGAAGAACUUCAGAGAUCCUAUAUUCCACAGCCCACUCUUUAUUUUACCAUUGGAGAGACUGAAGGCCAGGGGGUUAUGACUUGCCCAGGGGCGAAUUAAUGGCAGGCUGAGAGGACUGAGGGAGUUUCAACUGCCUCCAAAAGCACAAAAUUGGUAAAUAGUCAAAGGAUAUGAAGGCAAUUUUCAGGGAAAGAAAUCUAAGCUAUCAAUAGCCAUAUUAAAAAAUAUGCUAAACCACUAAAAAUUGGAGAAAUGAAAAUUGAAACCACUCAGCAGUUCCACUUCACAUCCAUCAGAAAUGCAAAUUUGACAAAAUUGGAAAAUGACAAAUGCUGGAGGGGCUGUGGGAAAACAUACAUUUCAUGCACUGUUGGUGGAGCUGUGAACUGAUCCAGCCAUUCUGAAAAGCAAUUUGGAAUUAUGCCCCCCAAAAGUUACAUUGUACAUACCCUUUGACCCAGCAAUACUGCUACUGGACCUAAACUGAAAUCAAAGAAAGAGGAAAAGAACCCAUGGGUACAAAAAUAUCUAUAGCAGUUCCCCCUCCCCAGUGGCAAAGAAAUGGAAACUGAAGGGUUGUCUGUUAAUUGAAGAAAAGCUGAACAAGUUAUAGUAUAUGAAUGUGAUGAGAUACUAUUCUGCUGUAAGAAAUGAUGGAGACAAAUUUCAGAGAAACCUGAAGACCUGUAUGAACUGUUGCAGAGUGAUAUGAGCAGAACCAAAACAACUUAUAUAAUUAUAAAAGCAUUGUAAGGACAACUUCAAAGGACUUAACAAAAGUCAUCAACACAAAGACCAACCAUUAUUCCAGAGGACUGAUGAGGAAGAAAGCUACUUAUCUCAUAGAGAGGCAAUGGAUUCAAGACACAAAUUGAGACCCACAUAUUUGGACAUGGCCAAUGCAGAAGUUUGUUUCAUAGAAUAAGCGUAUUUAUUGUGAGGUUUUGGUUUUUUUUUUUUUUUUUGCAAUGGGGCAAGAGAGAUAAAAAAAAUAUUUAAUUGAAAAAAGUAAAGUCUUUUGAAAAGAAUGCAUAAUCUCCUUGAGGGCAGGUCUUUGUCUCCCCACUGUUUAGCACAGAGAAGGUACAUCACAAGUGCUUACUGAUUGAUUCCAGAAGAUUCCUGAUGACACAUGGUACCCACCUCCUGAGAGAGGAGUGCAGAGUGAGACAUAUAUACACUUCUGGACAUGGACAAUUUGGGAAUUUGUUUUGCUCAAAUAAACAUAUCACCAGGGCUUUGUUUUUUUCUUUC